AUUGAACGCUGGCGGCAUGCUUUACACAUGCAAGUCGAACGGUAACAGGCCGCAAGGUGCUGACGAGUGGCGAACGGGUGAGUAAUGCAUCGGAACGUGCCCAGUCGUGGGGGAUAACUACUCGAAAGAGUAGCUAAUACCGCAUACGAUCUAUGGAUGAAAGCGGGGGACCGUAAGGCCUCGCGCGAUUGGAGCGGCCGAUGUCAGAUUAGGUAGUUGGUGGGGUAAAGGCUCACCAAGCCAACGAUCUGUAGCUGGUCUGAGAGGACAACCAGCCACACUGGGACUGAGACACGGCCCAGACUCCUACGGGAGGCAGCAGUGGGGAAUUUUGGACGAUGGGCGCAAGCCUGAUCCAGCAAUGCCGCGUGCAGGAAGAAGGCCUUCGGGUUGUAAACUGCUUUUGUACGGAACGAAACGGCUCUGGUUAAUACCCGGGGCUAAUGACGGUACCGUAAGAAUAAGCACCGGCUAACUACGUG
rnacentral:rRNA from 1 species